rnacentral:tmRNA from 1 species
GGGGCUGCACUGGCUUCGACAUUCCAGAGAAAGCCGUCCAUGCAGGCCGGGAGUGAGUCCGACCCCCGUUAAAUCAGGCUCAAAAACAAUAAGUGCGAACAACAUCGUUCCCUUUUCCCGCGCUCGCGUAGCAAUCGCUGCGUAGAACGGGUCUCGCAGGACGGACCCACGACGGUCUGUGAGAUACGGCUAGUGGGUGCUCCGGUAAACGUCCUUCGUCGCGUCACCGGCUAAGCUUAGACGAUGAAUCCCGUUAUCCGGAAUAAGCGAUAGCCCCCGCUCCUUGGGUCAAUCGAGCUAAGCCUGUGAACGAAUGGUAGGUGAAUAACUGCGGAUGGACAGGGGUUCGAUUCCCCUCAGCUCCACUU